rnacentral:tRNA from 1 species
AGAGGGUUGACCGAGUGGCUAAGGAGCCGCAUUGGAAAUGCGGUAAGGCGAAAGCCCCGCGGGUUCGAGUCCCGUGCCCUCUGCCA